rnacentral:rRNA from 1 species
GACGUAGGGCGCGAGCGUUGUCCGGAAUUAUUGGGCGUAAAGAGCUCGUAGGCGGUCUGUCGCGUCGGCUGUGAAAACCCGGGGCUCAACCCCGGGCCUGCAGUCGAUACGGGCAGACUAGAGUGCGGUAGGGGAGACUGGAAUUCCUGGUGUAGCGGUGAAAUGCGCAGAUAUCAGGAGGAACACCGGUGGCGAAGGCGGGUCUCUGGGCCGUAACUGACGCUGAGGAGCGAAAGCGUGGGGAGCGAACAGG